GAAGAUUUAUAAUAGAUAUCUAUUGGAAGGUCGAUUCAUAUGCGGAAAAAAAAUUAUCGCUUUUAUGUUUUAUAUUCCUUAUUCAUUUUCUUUUGAUCUUUGACAUCAUAAUUUUGAAUUACUCUUUUGAAAUGGAUUGUGUUACAGAAAAUAGUUUGAUGAUUCUAAUAUUAAUUAUAUAUGAAUGUUGUAGAAAAUAGUUUAACGAUUCUUAUAUUAUAUAUAAACAACACUAUUGUGAAGCUUCUUCAAUAAGUUAAUCAUAGAUGUUUGAAGGACUCUGAAGUAGGUGCUGAACAUAGAACAUGAUGAAAAGGUCCUUUGAAGUAUUUUCAUUUAGAAGAUCUAAUGAUCAUGUCGUUUUUGUUGGAGGAAAAAUAUAAAGAGUAUGCACAAAUCAGCGCUAAGAAGCUUUGUCUCAGAAGGUUCAGCAUGCAACAUCAGAACAUGGUCUGGCAAGACAUCAGAAGAUGGUCAAGGCAGAAUCAGAACAUGGGUCUAUGGAAGCAUCAGAAGAACUUGAGAUCAGAAGCAGAAGCACUGAAGUUCUCAUGGUAUCACGCUCAGAAGCACUUCAAGGUCAGAAGACAAGAAGAUGCUAUGCACCAAGCUGUUUGACUCUGAUGAUAUUCAAACGUUGUAUACACAAACUUCAGAUCAGAAGAAAGUACAGGUGGCAGGCUACGUUGACUGACAAAAGGAACGUUGGAAGCUAUUAAAGGCAACGUCAGUAGACACAGCGUGAACAAGGCUCGAGGUAGUUGACAAAAGCGUGAAACAUUAAAUGCAAUGCUGUACGGAAUACGCAAAGCAUUAAAUGCUCCCAACGGUCAUCUUCUCAAGUGCCUAUAAAUAUGAAGUUCUGAUGAGAAGCAAGGUUAACCAAUUCUUGACGAUUUCUGUGAAUAUUAACUUGCUGAAACGCUGUUCAAAUCAAAGCUCAGAAACUUCAUCUUCAUCAAAGCUCACUACAUUGCUGUUGUAAUAUAUUAGUGAGAUUAAGCUUAAACGUUAAGAGAAAUAUCACUGUUGUGAUUAUAGCUUUUCAGAAGCAUUUGUAAUACUCUUAGAAUUGAUUACAUUAAUUUGUAAGUAACUAGAGUGAUCAAGUGUAGAUCAGGAUACUCUAGGAAGUCUUAGCUUGUGUCUAAGCAGUUGUAAUUAGAGUGAUCACGUGGUGGUCAAGAUACUCUAAGAAAGUCUUAGCUUGUGUCUAAGCAUUUGUUCCUAGAGUGAUCAGGUUGUGAUCAGGAUACUCUAGAAGACUUAGUCGCGGGCUAAGUGGAAAACCAUUGUAAUCUGUUGCGAUUAGUGGAUUAAAUCCUCAGGUGAGGUAAAUCACUCCGUGGGGGUGGACUGGAGUAGUUUAGUUAACAACGAACCAGGAUAAAAAUAACUGUGCAAAUUGUUUUUAUCGUUCAAGUUUUUAGACUACACUUAUUCAAACUCCCCCCUUUCUAAGUGUUUUUCUAUCCUUCAAUUGGCAUCAGAGCGCCGGU